rfam:Triticum aestivum genome assembly, contig: Triticum_aestivum_CS42_TGACv1_scaffold_457092_5DS
AAAGUACUCACUCUGUCCGAAAAUACUUGUCAUCAAAAUGGAUAAAAAGAGAUGUAUCUAGAACUAAAAUACGUCUAGAUACAUCCCUUUUUAUUCAUUUUGAUGACAAGUAUUUCCGAACGGAGGGAGUAGACA